rnacentral:rRNA from 1 species
UGGGGGAUAUUGCACAAUGGGGGAAACCCUGAUGCAGCGACGCCGCGUGAGUGAAGAAGUAUUUCGGUAUGUAAAGCUCUAUCAGCAGGGAAGAAAGAAGACGGUACCUGAGUAAGAAGCCCCGGCUAACUACGUGCC